AGCUUGCUKCUUYGCUGACGAGUGGCGGACGGGUGAGUAAUGUCUGGGAAACUGCCUGAUGGAGGGGGAUAACUACUGGAAACGGUAGCUAAUACCGCAUAACGUCGCAAGACCAAAGAGGGGGACCUUCGGGCCUCUUGCCAUCGGAUGUGCCCAGAUGGGAUUAGCUAGUAGGUGGGGUAACGGCUCACCUAGGCGACGAUCCCUAGCUGGUCUGAGAGGAUGACCAGCCACACUGGAACUGAGACACGGUCCAGACUCCUACGGGAGGCAGCAGUGGGGAAUAUUGCACAAUGGGCGCAAGCCUGAUGCAGCCAUGCCGCGUGUAUGAAGAAGGCCUUCGGGUUGUAAAGUACUUUCAGCGGGGAGGAAGGGAGUAAAGUUAAUACCUUUGCUCAUUGACGUUACCCGCAGAAGAAGCACCGGCUAACUCCGUGCCAGCAGCCGCGGUAAUACGGAGGGUGCAAGCGUUAAUCGGAAUUACUGGGCGUAAAGCGCACGCAGGCGGUUUGUUAAGUCAGAUGUGAAAUCCCCGGGCUCAACCUGGGAACUGCAUCUGAUACUGGCAAGCUUGAGUCUCGUAGAGGGGGGUAGAAUUCCAGGUGUAGCGGUGAAAUGCGUAGAGAUCUGGAGGAAUACCGGUGGCGAAGGCGGCCCCCUGGACGAAGACUGACGCUCAGGUGCGAAAGCGUGGGGAGCAAACAGGAUUAGAUAC
rnacentral:rRNA from 1 species